rnacentral:rRNA from 1 species
UAGGGAAUCUUCGGCAAUGGACGGAANUCUGGACCGAGCAACGCCGCGUGAGUGAAGAAGGUUUUCGGAUCGUAAAGCUCUGUUGUAAGAGAAGAACGAGUGUGAGAGUGGAAAGUUCACACUGUGACGGUAUCUUACCAGAAAGGGACGGCUAACUACGUGCCAGCAGCCGCGGUAAUACGUAGGUCCCGAGCGUUGUCCGGAUUUAUUGGGCGUAAAGCGAGCGCAGGCGGUUAGAUAAGUCUGAAGUUAAAGGCUGUGGCUUAACCAUAGUACGCUUUGGAAACUGUUUAACUUGAGUGCAAGAGGGGAGAGUGGAAUUCCAUGUGUAGCGGUGAAAUGCGUAGAUAUAUGGAGGAACACCGGUGGCGAAAGCGGCUCUCUGGCUUGUAACUGACGCUGAGGCUCGAAAGCGUGGGGAGCAAACAGGAUUAGAUACCCUGGUAGUCCACGCCGUAAACGAUGAGUGCUAGGUGUUAGACCCUUUCCGGGGUUUAGUGCCGUAGCUAACGCAUUAAGCACUCCGCCUGGGGAGUACGACCGCAAGUUG